rnacentral:rRNA from 1 species
UACGGGGGGGGCAAGCGUUGUUCGGAAUUACUGGGCGUAAAGGGCGCGUAGGCGGCCUUCUAAGUCGGACGUGAAAUCCCUCGGCUUAACCGAGGAACUGCGUCCGAUACUGAAAGGCUUGAAUCCGGGAGAGGGAUGUGGAAUUCCAGGUGUAGCGGUGAAAUGCGUAGAUAUCUGGAGGAACACCGGUGGCGAAGGCGGCAUCCUGGACCGGUAUUGACGCUGAGGCGCGAAAGCUAGGGGAGCAAAC